GCUACACAUGCAGUCGACGGUAAGGCCCCUUCGGGGGUACACGAGUGGCGAACGGGUGAGUAACACGUGGGUGAUCUGCCCUGCACUCUGGGAUAAGCCUGGGAAACUGGGUCUAAUACCGGAUAUGACCUUGGACUGCAUGGUCCUUGGUGGAAAGGUUUACUGGUGCAGGAUGGGCCCGCGGCCUAUCAGCUUGUUGGUGGGGUAAUGGCCUACCAAGGCGACGACGGGUAGCCGGCCUGAGAGGGCGACCGGCCACACUGGGACUGAGACACGGCCCAGACUCCUACGGGAGGCAGCAGUGGGGAAUAUUGCACAAUGGGCGAAAGCCUGAUGCAGCGACGCCGCGUGAGGGAUGACGGCCUUCGGGUUGUAAACCUCUUUCAGCAGGGACGAAGCGAGAGUGACGGUACCUGCAGAAGAAGCACCGGCUAACUACGUGCCAGCAGCCGCGGUAAUACGUAGGGUGCGAGCGUUGUCCGGAAUUACUGGCGUAAAGAGUUCGUAGGCGGUUGUCACGUCGUUGUGAACUCACAGCUCACUGUGAGCCUGCAGGCGAUACGGGCAGACUUGAGUACUGCAG
rnacentral:rRNA from 1 species